UACGUAGGGUGCAAGCGUUGUCCGGAUUUAUUGGGUUUAAAGGGUGCGUAGGCGGUCUAUUAAGUCAGUGUUUAAAUUUUGCAGCUUAACUGUAGGUAUGGCAUUGAUACUGGUGGACUUGAAUAUCAUGGAGGUAGCUAGAAUUUAUGGUGUAGCGGUGAAAUGCAUAGAUACCAUAAGGAACACCGAUAGCGGAGGCAGGUUACCACGUGAUGAUUGACGCUGAGGCACGAAAGCGUGGGGAUCAAACAGG
rnacentral:rRNA from 1 species